rnacentral:rRNA from 1 species
UAGCGGCAGGCUUAAUACAUGCAAGUCGUGGGGCAGCAUGAGUAGCAAUACUUGAUGGCGACCGGCAAACGGGUGAGGAACACGUACACAACCUUCCUUCAAGCGGGGAAUAGCCCAGAGAAAUUUGGAUUAAUACCCCAUAAUAUAUUUGAUAAGGCAUCUUAUUGAUAUUAAAGCUUCGGCACUUGAUGAUGGGUGUGCGGCUGAUUAGAUAGUUGGCGGGGUAACGGCCCACCAAGUCUACGAUCAGUAGCUGAUGUGAGAGCAUGAUCAGCCACACGGGCACUGAGACACGGGCCCGACUCCUACGGGAGGCAGCAGUAAGGAAUAUUGGACAAUGGACGAAAGUCUGAUCCAGCCAUGCCGCGUGAAGGAUUAAGGUCCUCUGGAUUGUAAACUUCUUUUAUAUGGGACGAAAAAAGGGCAUUCUUGUUCACUUGACGGUACCAUAUGAAUAAGCACCGGCUAACUCCGUG